rnacentral:lncRNA from 1 species
GCACUCGUCCGUUCGUGGCCCACCGUGGUGGUCACCAAAUUGAGGGCUUCCUGGAAGGACCUCCUCACGGUGCCCAUCCACUGGGUCAUGUGGGUCUGGGCCACUGUGAGUUUAUCUCCCAGGUAAUCCAUGGGGCCAGCCAGGAGGAGAGGGAAGAAGGAAGUUAGGGAGGGAGAGAGCAAUUAAAACGCCAGUGUCCUCUUGCCUCUUUGGACUCUUUUGCUCAUGGAAGUUUUGGGCUUGCUUGGAGGAAAAAAAAUUAAAAACAGCAGCUUUCUUCAGGCAAACCAAGGCUGUCUCUCCCUCCCUCUCUGGAAGGCAACACUGAUCCAGGAUCUCACUCUGUUGCCCAGGCUGGACUGCAGUGGCAUGAUCACAGCUCACUGCAGCCUUGGCCUCCCAGGCUCAAGCGAUCCUCCCACCUCAGCCUCCUCGGUAGCUAGGACUACAGGUGGAGCAACACCGUCAGUCAGAAGGCAGCGGAUGGCACAGGGCUUCCGCGUAAGGCCUGCAUCGCCUGAGUCAUGGUUUUCUCAUCUUGUAUGAGGCCCACCCCCUUCAAAAGGUUGUGACAAAAAAAACAACUGAGAUAAUUUGUGCCGCUGGCACAUAGUUAACACUCAAUAAGGCCGGGCGCAGUGGCUUACACCUCUAAUCCCAGCACUUUGGGAGGCUGAGGCAGGUGGAUCACUUGAGGCCAGGAGUUCGAUACCAGCCUGACCAACAUGGUGAAACCCCAUCUCAACUAAAAAUACAAAAAUUAGCCAGGCAUGGUGGUGUGCACCUGUAGUCCCAGCUACUUGGGAGCCUGAGGCAGGAGCAUCUCUUGAACCCGGGAGGUGGAGGUUGCAGUGAGCGGAGAUGGCACCACUGCACUCCAGCCUGGGCGACAGAACAAGACUCUGUCUCAAAACAACAACAACAACAAAAUAAUAAAUGGUGACCACAAGGGAUGAUCGUUUUUCUAUUAUAAUUCCUAUCAUCUCACUGUUCAAAUGAAUCACAGGACCCUAGACAGUCAGAAUCAAGACACCAGCAGGGACCAACCUAGGCCAACCUUCCCACUAAACUGAAGAAACAGGCCCAGACCGAGGGCUGCCCUAAGGCCUCACAGUCCAUCUGCAGCAGG